UGGAGAUCCUGCUCCGUCGCCCCAGUGUUCAGACUACCUGUUCAGGACAAUGCCGUUGUACAGUAGUCUGCACAUUGGUUAGACUGGGCAGGGGAGCGCA
rnacentral:pre_miRNA from 10 species